rnacentral:rRNA from 1 species
UUCCGGUUGAUCCUGCCGGACCUGACUGCUAUCGGAUUGAUACUAAGCCAUGCGAGUCUUUGCAGUAAUGCAAGGCAUACGGCUCAGUAACACGUAGUCAACUUACCCUAUGGACGAGGAUAAUCUCGGGAAACUGAGCAUAAUACUCGAUAGAUCAUAAUGCCUGGAAUGGUUUAUGGUUAAAAUGAUUCGUCGCCAUAGGAUGGGACUGCGGCCUAUCAGCUUGUUGGUGAGGUAAUGGCCCACCAAGGCGAUUACAGGUACGGGCUCUGAGAGGAGAAGCCCGGAGAUGGGUACUGAGACAAGGACCCAGGCCCUAUGGGGCGCAGCAGGCGAGAAAACUUUGCAAUGUGCGAAAGCACGACAAGGUUAAUCCGAGUGAUUUCUGCUAAAGAAAUCUUUUGCAAGUCAUAAAACCACUAGUGAAUAAGGGGUGGGCAAGUUCUGGUGUCAGCCGCCGCGGUAAAACCAGCACCUCAAGUGGUCAGGAGGAUUAUUGGGCCUAAAGCAUCCGUAGCCGGCUCUGUAAGUUUUCGGUUAAAUCCAUGUGCUCAACGCAUGGGCUGCCGAAAAUACUGCAUAGCUAGGGAGUGGGAGAGGUAGACGGUACUCGGUAGGAAGGGGUAAAAUCCUUUGAUCUAUCGAUGACCACCUGUGGCGAAGGCGGUCUACCAGAACACGUUCGACGGUGAGGGAUGAAAGCUGGGGGAGCAAACCGGAUUAGAUACCCGGGUAGUCCCAGCUGUAAACGAUGCAGACUCGAUGAUGCAUUGGCAUAUAGCCAGUGCAGUGUCGCAGGGAAGCCGUUAAGUCUGCCGCCUGGGAAGUACGUACGCAAGUAUGAAACUUAAAGGAAUUGGCGGGGGAGCACCACAAGGGGUGAAGCCUGCGGUUCAAUUGGAGUCAACGCCGG